rnacentral:rRNA from 1 species
GCUUACGGCCAUACCACCCUGAACACGCCCGAUCGUCCGGAAGCUAAGCAGGGUCGGGCCUGGUUAGUACUUGGAUGGGAGACCGCCUGGGAAUACCAGGUGCUGUAAGCU